CAUACGGGGUUGGAGGGCACGCAGAUGGUCAGGCCAGAGCGGCCCCUUCCCCUCAGCCGAGUGCAGACUCCCGGGAGAGACCGGGUGUCUGAGGCUGAGUGAGAAGGGGCCGCUCACAGACACUUCUGUGUCCAGGGCCACACUGUACUGGCUUGCUUGCUGUCGGAGGUGGACAGCGGUGUGCAGGACCGAGGUGUCUCUGUGCUUCUGGACCCGGGGUUUUCUCUGAUCUGGCGGCUCUGCGCUGCAUGGAGGGAAGAAAUGUGAAGCCCAGAGAGGUCGGCUGACCUUUCCAAGGUCGCACAGCCGAGAAAGAACGAAGCUGGAUUUGGACCGGGCCCGUUAGUUAGAUUGCCUCUUUGCACGGGACUGGCAGAGCCUACGGAGCGGUCGGCCGCUGUGCCAGCAGACUCGGGGAAAGAGGCUCAUCGGUUCCUUGUUUGGUAACCUAAUAAAUGACACAUUUGUGGGACAGCCUCGCCCUAGAAGCUUCCGUCUUCUCCUCUCUCUGCAAGUUCUAACAGCCUGGGUUGCUGUUGGCCACUCGAGACCACCCCCCACCCCCCAGCCGAAGACCCUUGCUGCUGAGGAGAAGGCUGGGGUUUGACGAAGCUGAACGGCGAGGAGCCACAGAGUUUGAAUGGCGAGGCUGCGACGGCUCCUGCCGUCAGGCAGGUGGGGAGACCACGCCAGACGCCAGAGGCCGCUCACGGUACCUGCUGCGCCCCUUCUCCUUGUCACCGUAGACGUACAUGGUGGAUUGGAAGUGGGAAAUGGGAAUUCGAAAAUUACAGGCAAAGAAUGGCAAUUAGUUUAGCUAAAGCAAAAAGAUGGCAUUCGAAAAACCCAACAUUUUGCUAAGUAAGUCAGUGCUGGGGAACAAUUUUACCAGGAAGUAAAAAUAAACUCGAGUUUGUAGGCGUUACGGAA